ACGGGUGAGUAACGCGUGGGUAACCCACCCUCGAAUCUGGGAUAACUCCGCGAAAGCGGUGCUAAUACCGGAUAAGACCACAUUCCGUUCGCGGAAAGAGGUAAAAGCUGACCUCUCCAUGGAAGUUAGCGUUUGAGGACGGGCCCGCGUCCUAUCAGCUUGUUGGUGGGGUAAUGGCCUACCAAGGCAGCGACGGGUAGCUGGUCUGAGAGGAUGAUCAGCCACACUGGAACUGGAACACGGUCCAGACUCCUACGGGAGGCAGCAGUGAGGAAUUUUGCGCAAUGGGGGAAACCCUGACGCAGCAACGCCGCGUGGGUGAAGAAGGCUUUCGGGUCGUAAAGCCCUGUCAGGUGGGAAGAAACUCUUCAGUACUAAUAAUGCUGAAGCCUGACGGUACCACCAGAGGAAGCACCGGCCAACUCCGUGCCAGCAGCCGCGGUAAUACGGAGGGUGCAAGCGUUGUUCGGAAUCAUUGGGCGUAAAGAGCGUGUAGGCGGCUAGGAAAGUCAGAUGUGAAAGCCCUGGGCUCAACCCAGGAAGUGCAUUUGAAACUCUCUAACUUGAGUACGGGAGAGGAGGGGGGGAAUUCCCGGUGUAGAGGUGAAAUUCGUAGAUAUCGGGAGGAAUACCGGUGGCGAAGGCGCCCCUCUGGACCGAUACUGACGCUGAGACGCGAAAGCGUGGGGAGCAAACAGGA
rnacentral:rRNA from 1 species